GGACACGGAAAGGAUUGAGAGAUUGAUAGCUCUUUCUCGAUUCUGUGGGUGGUGGUGCAUGGCCGUUCUUAGUCGGUGGAGCGAUUUGUCUGGUUAAUUCCAAUAACGAACGAGACUCUGGCAUGCUAACUAGUUAUUCGACCCCGAGCUUAUUUUCUGCAUGUCUGAUACAUGCAUACAAGGAACGCUAGAUUCUUAAAAGCAUCUUCACAUGGAACACUACAAGAUUGAUAUAAUAAUUCCACACCGUGGAU